AAGUCGUAACAAGGUUUCCGUAGGUGAACAGGAUCAUUAACACGUUUCAUCCUGCUCUUGUAACCCGCGUAGUUCGCAAUCUCUGAUAAAUCAUAGCCCGGAAAGUUGUAGUGAUUCAGAGACCUCUGGCUACGUGAACAUUGGAACAGUUACAAUCGAGCGGUAGUUCUAUAGGCAAUGUUUCUCCAAGCAGUCAGUGUCGGAAAGUGUCAUUGAUUGUGCAAGGAUAGCGCUUCUACGAUUCCUGUAGACCGUACACUCGGGCAGGAGCUUUGCCAAAGGGUCCCCAUGCCCCCUAAUAACCCCACAGUUUAAUGUGAAGCUCAAUGUAAUACAUUGGGUAAAAAAACCGAACAACUGUUAACAAUGGAUAUCUUGGUUCUC
rnacentral:misc_RNA from 1 species